rnacentral:rRNA from 1 species
CCUACGGGAGGCAGCAGUGGGGAAUAUUUCACAAUGGGCGAAAGCCUGAUGCAGCGACGCCGCGUGAGUGAGGAAGUAUUUCGGUAUGUAAAGCUCUAUCAGCAGGGAAGAAAAUGACGGUACCUGACUAAGAAGCCCCGGCUAACUACGUGCCAGCAGCCGCGGUAAUACGUAGGGGGCAAGCGUUAUCCGGAUUUACUGGGUGUAAAGGGUGCGUAGACGGCUAGUCAGGUUAGAAGUGAAAGCCUAGGGCCCAACCUUGGGACUGCUUUUGAAACUGAGUAGCUAGAGUGCAGGAGAGGUAAGUGGAAUUCCUAGUGUAGCGGUGAAAUGCGUAGAUAUUAGGAGGAACACCAGUGGCGAAGGCGGCUUACUGGACUGGAACUGACGUUGAGGCUCGAAAGCGUGGGGAGCAAACAGGAUUAGAUACCCCGGUAGUC